rnacentral:rRNA from 1 species
CCUACGGGCGGCAGCAGUGAGGAAUAUUGGUCAAUGGACGGGAGCCUGAACCAGCCAAGUAGCGUGCGGGAUGAAGGCCCUACGGGUCGUAAACCGCUUUUGCACGGGGAUAACACCCUCCAUGUGUGGACUUCUGCAUGUACCGUGCGAAUAAGGGCCGGCUAAUUCCGUGCCAGCAGCCGCGGUAAUACGGAAGGCCCGAGCGUUAUCCGGAUUCAUUGGGGUUAAAGGGAGCGUAGGCGGGCGUUCAAGUCAGCUGUAAAAUCGCGCGGCUCAACCGCACCCUGCAGUUGAAACUGGAAGCCUUGAGUUCAGAACAGGUAGGCGGAAUUCGUGGUGUAGCGGUGAAAUGCAUAGAUAUCACGAGGAACCCCGAUUGCGAAGGCAGCCUGCCGGGGUGCGACUGACGCUGAGGCUCGAAGGUGCGGGUAUCAAACAGGAUUAGAUACCCCAGUAGUC